CAGGUUUUCGUGCACUUGAUUGGGUUUAAGUGAAACAUCUCAGACUGCCCUGCAGCAGUUUUAUCAGACACCUAGAUAAUGCAGGGCUUGGCAAGGCCUGUUACCUGCGUGGCACAGAGAGUUAACCUCUUACCUGCUACAGUAAGGUUAAACAAGCCAUGAUUUGUGAAGGACAAGUUGACAACCAAGCAAGAACAUGUAGGUGAAAG